rnacentral:rRNA from 1 species
GAUGAACGCUAGCGACAGGCUUAACACAUGCAAGUCGAGGGGCAGCAUAGAAGUAGCAAUACUUUGGUGGCGACCGGCGCACGGGUGAGUAACGCGUAUGCAACCUACCUAUCAGAGGGGAAUAACCCGGCGAAAGUCGGACUAAUACCGCAUAAAACAGGGGCACCGCAUGGUGAUAUUUGUUAAAGAAAUUCGCUGAUAGAUGGGCAUGCGUUCCAUUAGGUAGUUGGUGAGGUAACGGCUCACCAAGCCGACGAUGGAUAGGGGAACUGGGAGGUUGGUCCCCCACACUGGUACUGAGACGCGGACCAGACUCCUAGGGGAGGCAGCAGUGAGGAAUAUUGGUCAAUGGGCGGGAGCCUGAACCAGCCAAGUCGCGUGAAGGAAGAAGGAUCUAUGGUUCGUAAACUUCUUUUGCAGGGGAAUAAAGUGCAGGACGUGUCCUGUUUUGUAUGUACCCUGAGAAUAAGGAUCGGCUAACUCCGUGCCAGCCGCCGCCGUAA